AUUGAACGCUGGCGGAAUGCUUUACACAUGCAAGUCGAGCGGCAGCGCGGGGCAACCUGGCGGCGAGCGGCGAACGGGUGAGUAAUACAUCGGAACGUACCCUGUCGUGGGGGAUAACGAGUCGAAAGAUUCGCUAAUACCGCAUACGACCUGAGGGUGAAAGCGGGGGAUCGCAAGACCUCGCGCGAUAGGAGCGGCCGAUGGCGGAUUAGCUAGUUGGUGAGGUAAAGGCCCACCAAGGCGACGAUCCGUACCGGGUCUGAGAGGACGACCCGCAACGCUGGACCUGAGACACGGUCCAGACUCCUACGGGAGGCAGCAGUGGGGAAUUUUGGACAAUGGGGGCAACCCUGAUCCAGCCAUUCCGCGUGAGUGAAGAAGGCAUUCGGGUUGUAAAGCUCUUUCGGCAGGAACGAAACGGUCCUUUCUAAUACAAGGGGCUAAUGACGGUACCUGAAGAAGAAGCACCGGCUAACUACGUGCCAGCCGCCGCCGUAA
rnacentral:rRNA from 1 species